rnacentral:rRNA from 1 species
CCUACGGGAGGCAGCAGUGGGGAAUAUUGCACAAUGGGGGAAACCCUGAUGCAGCGACGCCGCGUGAAGGAUGAAGGAUUUCGGUAUGUAAACUUCUAUCAGCAGGGAAGAAAAUGACGGUACCUGACGAAGAAGCACCGGCUAACUACGUGCCAGCAGCCGCGGUAAUACGUAGGGGGCAAGCGUUAUCCGGAUUUACUGGGUGUAAAGGGGGCGUAGGCGGUAUGGCAAGUCUGAUGUGAAAACCCGGGGCUCAACCCCUGGACUGCAUUUGAAACUGCCGAACUAGAGUGUCGGAGAGGCAAGUGGAAUGCGUGGGGUAGCGGUGAAAUGCGUAGAUAUUAGGAAGAACACCAGUGGCGAAGGCGGCUUGCUGGACGAUGACUGACGUUGAGGCUCGAAAGCGUGGGGAUCAAACAGGAUUAGAUACCCUUGUAGUC